AUGUCUGAUUCCAGUCUCACUCGGUUCAUCCGCUCAUGCGUCUCUCGCCGAAGCUCUCUCUGCGCAGGAAGAAGCAGCAGAGAAGCUGAAGAGAGUUUGCGGCGUGUCUGGACGACGUAUUCGAGACGUCUUCUGUCCGUAUCUGGGAUCCUCUGCGGCUCCGUAACGCCUCAGACGUGUUAAAGCUGCACUAGUGCUGCAGAUGUUUAAUAAACGUAACCUCAAGCUUGCUGAUGGUUGAUGUAUUAUUGUUAAAUCAGAGUCAGAGGGAAGUGGCUGUGAAUCAGGAAGACUGGGAGGUGUUAAAUGCUAAAAGGAAAUUGAUGGGAAAUUGCCUGUCAUGUAUUUAUGUAUGUCCCCAAAUAUCACUUAAUAAUACGACUAGAAGGUCUGUUUGAGUGAACGGAAACAACCAGCGAAAUCAUUAGGUGUUAAAAAUCUGACAAACGAAGCCUAAAACGAUCUUAAAUCAGAGCAGAAGUCUGAAUUCAUAAAAUCUUUGGUAUUAAAUGAUGCAUGCUGUGCAAAUAAAAUCAUCCUCAGUGCUUUUGUGCAAAAAGAAAACACUAAGUCUUAAAACGAACAAAUAUCUGAAAACUUUUCACA
rnacentral:lncRNA from 1 species